rnacentral:rRNA from 1 species
GAUGAACGCUAGCUACAGGCUUAACACAUGCAAGUCGAGGGGUAACGAGAGGAAAGCUUGCUUUCCUUGUCGACGACCGGCGCACGGGUGAGUAACGCGUAUCCAACCUGCCCCCAACUAGGGAAUAACCUUGCGAAAGUAAGACUAAUACCCUAUAAUUUCCUCAGAUGUCAUCUGACGAGGAAUAAAGAUUUAUCGGUUGUGGAUGGGGAUGCGUCUGAUUAGCUUGUUGGCGGGGUAACGGGCCACCAAGGCAACGAUCAGUAGGGGUUCUGAGAGGAAGGUCCCCCACAUUGGAACUGAGACACGGUCCAAACUCCUACGGGGGGCACCAGUGAGGAAUAUUGGUCAAUGGGCGGAAGCCUGAACCAGCCAAGUAGCGUGCAGGAUGACGGCCCUAUGGGAUGUAAACUGCUUUUAUACAGGAAUAAAGUUAGCCACGUGUGGUUAUUUGUAGGUACUGUAUGAAUAAGGACCGGCUAAUUCCGUGCCAGCCGCCGCCGUAA